rnacentral:misc_RNA from 1 species
AAUUCUCAACCUCAUCAGUUUUGCUAUGAGACUCUGUGUGAGGCUUGGAUGUGGGGGAUUCUGCAGGCUGCCUCAGUGCGGUCUGCUCCCCUGAAAUGCAUUAGCGAGUUCACUGAGCUCCGUCUAUUGGUGUGAUAAUUAUCUACGCCGUGGAUUGGGCUUAGACUAGCUUCUAACCGUCCGCAAGGACAAUCUUUGACA